rnacentral:rRNA from 1 species
UUGAACGCUGGCGGCAUGCCUUACACAUGCAAGUCGAACGGCAGCACGGGAGCAAUCCUGGUGGCGAGUGGCGAACGGGUGAGUAAUACAUCGGAACGUGCCCAGUAGUGGGGGAUAACCCGGCGAAAGCCGGACUAAUACCGCAUACGACCUACGGGUGAAAGCGGGGGAUCGCAAGACCUCGCGCUAUCGGAGCGGCCGAUGUCAGAUUAGCUAGUUGGUGGGGUAAAAGCCUACCAAGGCGACGAUCUGUAGCUGGUCUGAGAGGACGACCAGCCACACUGGGACUGAGACACGGCCCAGACUCCUACGGGAGGCAGCAGUGGGGAAUAUUGGACAAUGGGCGCAAGCCUGAUCCAGCAAUGCCGCGUGCGUGAUGAAGGCCUUCGGGUUGUAAAGCGCUUUCGCCCGCGACGAUGAUGACGGUAGCGGGAGAAGAAGCCCCGGCUAACUCCGUGCCAG